CUCAUCUGUACAGAUAAACUCUAAUCUAAUGCAGAUGGGUGUUACAAAAAUGCAACAGUGCACCUAAGAGUGCUUUGGGAACCAUGAAGCUCUAUAUAAAUAGGAAAGAAUAUAUUUUUUUAGAGUGCCUCCUAACAUCGCUGAUCUCUGUCUUCCAGGCACCUUCUUUCCUGGAGCACAACUCACCAAUUCCACCACCAGCUGGUUUCUUCCUACGUCACAAAAGCAACUGCGAACAGGGCUCCAUUGAGUGGGGACCCGACUCAUUACUUCUCUCAGGGGGCCCACAGUGGAGUUAGAAAGGCGAGCCCAGCAAACACUUACAGGAAACUGCCGUGAGCCCCAUCACUGAGCAUGGGUGGGGUGGGUGAACUAGAAUUUGCUAUCUGAGCAGUUGGUGUUUGACUUGAGUCUUUGAAGCACCUGGAAAAUAAUAUCACACGUCCUUGGUGUUCCAUGUUUGCCCUGACCGC
rnacentral:lncRNA from 10 species